GACGAACGCUGGCGGCGUGCCUAAUACAUGCAAGUCGAACGCAGUGGGGACGGGUGAGUAACCCGUGGGUAACCUCCCAUCAGAGGGGAUAACCCUUGGAAACAGGUGCUAAACCGAUACGGAUGGCUGGACCCGCGGGGCAUGAGCUAGUUGGUGUGGUAACGGCUCACCAAGGCCACGAUGCAUAGCCGCCCGUAGAGGGUGAUCGGCCACACUGGUACUGAGACACGUCCCAGACUCCUACGGGAGGCAGCAUUAGGGAAUCUUCGGCAAUGGACGAAAGUCUGACCGAGCAACUCCGCGUGAGUGAAGAAGGUUUUCGGAUCGUAAAACUCUGUUGUUAGAGAAGCGGUAUCUAACCAGAAAGCCACGGCUAACUACGUGCCAGCAGCCGCGGUAAUAC
rnacentral:rRNA from 1 species